rnacentral:misc_RNA from 1 species
UGGUUCUGGCAUCGAUGAAGAACGCAGCGAAAUGCGAUAAGUAGUGUGAAUUGCAGAAUUCAGUGAAUCAUCGAAUCUUUGAACGCACAUUGCGCCCCUUGGUAUUCCAUGGGGCAUGCCUGUUCGAGCGUCAUUUACACUCUCAAGCUCUGCUUGGUGUUGGGCGUUGUCUUUGCGGACUCGCCUCAAUUGGAUUGGCAGCCGGCUUUUGGUUUAUAACGCAGCACAUGCGCUCUAUGCCAUACAGUCGCUUCCAUAAGUCUAUUACGUUUGACCUCGGAUCAGGUAGGGAUACCCGCUGA